AUGAACGCUGGCGGCGUGCCUCAUACAUGCAAGUCGAGCGAACAGACGAGGAGCUUGCUCCUCUGGCGUUAGCGGCGGACGGGUGAGUAACACGUGGAUAACCUACCUAUAAGACUGGGAUAACUUCGGGAAACCGGAGCUAAUACCGGAUAAUAUAUUGAACCGCAUGGUUCAAUAGUGAAAGACGGUUUUGCUGUCACUUAUAGAUGGAUCCGCGCCGCAUUAGCUAGUUGGUAAGGUAACGGCUUACCAAGGCAACGAUGCGUAGCCGACCUGAGAGGGUGAUCGGCCACACUGGAACUGAGACACGGUCCAGACUCCUACGGGAGGCAGCAGUAGGGAAUCUUCCGCAAUGGGCGAAAGCCUGACGGAGCAACGCCGCGUGAGUGAUGAAGGUCUUCGGAUCGUAAAACUCUGUUAUUAGGGAAGAACAAAUGUGUAAGUAACUAUGCACGUCUUGACGGUACCUAAUCAGAAAGCCACGGCUAACUACGUG
rnacentral:rRNA from 1 species